AUGAAGGUGCAGAGAGAAACGCUCGCCCGGAGCUCCCGCACGUGGCAAAGCCGGCCAGGAGCGGCGGGCCCUCCGCUGGGCUUUGCUUCUCCCCAGGUCAUCGUUACUCUCAGUCAGGCUUUCCCUGGAGGGCUUCCACCAGCAGUGUGCCAUUGCAUCCUUCCCAACGCAGCAUCAGUGAAACCACCAGGCCUCAGCCGAGAAUUCCAGAAAGUCGCACAGAGCUUCCGGGGGGUGUGGCGCUGGGGCGGAGCCGCCGCGCCCGGGCUUCUGAUUGGCCAGGCCUGGUCAGGUGAUCGCUCUUGCCGCGGGAUCGCAGCGUGGCAACCGCCGACCUGUGAGGCUGAGAGGGACGAGGCUGCUUCCGGCGGCCGCGGGACUCCUGUACGUUGCACAGCUGAGGCCCGGGGCUGGCGCGAGCUCGGUAUCCGUGGCUGCCUCCGCGUGGCGCGGCCUCGCGGGCCUUGUCUGACUGGCUGCUGGUGCGGGAGGGCCGUGCAUUUCCCUCCGCGGGCUCCCACACUCCGUUCCUGCGACAGCUCACCGCAGUUGGCACUGCUGCGGGGCCUCCCUCGCACUCCGGUGCCGUCUCUAUCGGCCGCUUCCCUCAGGUGCUGAUCUGAUGGGUUUCACUGGAGCACGGGCAUUCAGGAUGAACUCCUCUAGGAACUGAGGAAGUGAAGUUGAACCACAACGAACUUGAAAUUCAAUGUGUUAGAGUCACCAUUCUUGACUGUGUCCUUAACA
rnacentral:lncRNA from 1 species